AUGUCAGGAGAAGGAGACAUCAAGCUGCUCGGCAUGGUGGUGAGCCCAUUCGUGGUCCGUGUGCGAAUGGCACUCCACAUGAAGGGCGUGAGCUAUGAGUACAUCGAGCAGGAUCUCUUCAACAAGAGCGAGAUCCUCCUCAGGUCCAACCCGGUGAACAAGAAGGUGCCGGUGCUCAUCCACGGCGGCAAGCCCAUCAGCGAGUCCCUCGUCAUCGUGCAGUACGCCGACGAGGUGUGGAGCGGCAAGGGCGCCUCCAUCCUCCCCGCCGACCCGCACGAGCGCGCUGUUGCUCGCUUCUGGGCCGCCUACGUCGACGACAAGCUGUUCCCUGCUUACAUCGGCAUCAUGAAAGCGGCGACUGAGGAAGCAAGAGCGGAGAAGGCCAAGGAGGCGCUUGUGGGGUUAGCGAGCCUGGAAGAGGCCUUCACCCAGUCCUCAAAAGGGAAGCCUUUCUUCGCCGGCGACUCCGUCGGGUACCUCGACCUCGCCGUCGGAUGCAACCUGUUCUGGCUCGAGGCAAUACGCAAGAUGUUUGGGGUGACGUUCUUUGACGUGGGCAAGACCCCGCUCCUGGCCGCGUGGGCGGAGCGGUUUGCGGGAACCGAGAUGGCGAGGGAGGUGGUGCCGGACGCCGACAGCGCCGUGGUGUUUGCCAAGAAGCUUCAGGCUCGGUUUGGCUCUAACACGUCUGCCAAGUAG
rnacentral:rRNA from 1 species